UAAUCUGUCGUUAAUACAAUUCUGAGUAGUAACAGACUUCUCCAAACUCAAAGAAUUUGGCGGCGUCUUUACUAAUUAGAGGAACCUGCCCCAUAAAUGAUGACCCACGAUUAAUCUGUCUGUGAUUAUUAGUUUGUAUACCGCCGUGUAGGGCUUAUUCUAAAAUAAACUCAUAAUUAUGUCAAUUUACACUUCAGGUCAAGGUGCAGUUUAUAUCACUGAGCGAGGUGGGUUACAAUAAACUUCUUUACAAAUCGAGAUUUGGAAAACCUCGUGAAGUUGGAUUUAAAAGUAAAAUUAAUUUAAAAAAUUUGAUUGAGUACCAAGACGUG
rnacentral:rRNA from 1 species